ensembl:lncRNA PI4KAP1 phosphatidylinositol 4-kinase alpha pseudogene 1
GAACCGGCAUGUGGCGGCCAUCGGGCCCCGCUUCAAGCUGCUGACCCUGGGGCUGUCCCUCCUGCAUGCCGAUGUGGUUCCAAAUGCAACCAUCCGCAAUGUGCUUCGCGAGAAGAUCUACUCCACUGCCUUUGACUACUUCAGUCCCUGACUCCAGACACUCAGCCGUUGUCCUCUUAUGGUUGUUUGAAGCUGUCCCCCAAAGUUUCCUACUCAAGGAGAGAAGCGGCUGCGUGAAGACAUAAGCAUCAUGAUUAAAUUUUGGACCGCCAUGUUCUCAGAUAAGAAGUACCUGACCGCCAGCCAGCUUGUUCCCCCAGCUGACAUCGGCGACCUCCGGGAGCAGUUAGUAGAGGAGAACACAGGCUCCUUGUCGGGCCCAGCGAAGGACUUUUACCAGCGGGAGUUUGAUUUCUUUAACAAGAUCACCAACGUGUCGGCUGUCAUCAAGCCCUACCCUAAAGGCGACCAGAGAAAGAAGGCUUGUCUGUCGGCCCUGUCUGAAGUGACGGUGCAGCCAGGCUGCUCCCUGCCCAGCAACCCUGAAGCCAUUGUGCUGGACGUCGACUACAAGUCUGGGACCCCGAUGUAGAGUGCUGCAAAAGCCCCAUAUCUGGCCAAGUUCAAGGUGAAGCGAUGUGGAGUUAGUGAACUUGAAAAAGAAGGUCUGCGGUGCCGCUCAGACUCUGAGGAUGAGUGCAGCACGCAGGAGGCCGACGGCCAGAAGAUCUCCUGGCAGGCAGCCAUCUUCAAACUGGGAGACGACUGCCGGCAGGACAUGCUGGCCCUGCAGAUCAUCGACCUCUUCAAGAACAUCUUCCAGCUGGUCGGCCUGGACCUCUUUGUUUUUCCCUACCGCGUGGUGGCCACUGCCCCUGGGUGCGGGGUGAUCGAGUGCAUCCCCGACUGCACCUCCCGGGACCAGCUGGGCCGCCAGACAGACUUUGGCAUGUACGACUACUUCACACGCCAGUACGGGGAUGAGUCCACUCUGGCCUUCCAGCAGGCCUGCUACAACUUCAUCCGAAGCAUGGCCGCCUACAGCCUCCUGCUGUUCCUGCUGCAGAUCAAGGACAGACACAACGGCAACAUUAUGCUGGACAAGAAGGGCCAUAUCAUCCACAUCGGUCAGCCAGCCACAGCGCCACCCUCCUCUCCCUUCACCCCGGCACCCAGGGGUGGAUAGGGAUCCCCACCCCACAGAGAGGAGAAUGCCCAGGACCACCCUGCCAGGAGUGUCAGGGUCCAGCUCUGAGGUCCGAACUGUCGGCCACCAAGCUGUUCUGCUGUAGAGGGUGCCUGGCCCCGGCCCCAGGGAGCUGGGGCGAGAGCCGCCAUUGCUCUGAGUCAGAAGCUGGAGCUGGGCGGAGUGGGGCUCGUCCAGGUUCAGUGCCCCAGCUUGGCUCCUUCCUCCACUUCCUCCCUUCUCUUUCUCUGCCUGCUGCCCCACCACCCACCCCAUCACUGUCUCCAAGAAAACACAACCUGCCUUUUGGGGGUGGAGGGGGUGCUCCUGUUGCAGAGUCCUUUUCCACUCCUCAAAACAGACCACUCGUCCUUGCCCGCCCUGGCUCCUACCCAGUCACAGGCAGCUCUUUGGGGUUUUGCAGACUUUGGCUUCAUGUUUGAAAGCUCGCCGGGCGGCAAUCUCGGCUGGGAACCCGACAUCAAGCUGACGGAUGAGAUGGUGAUGAUCAUGGGGGGCAAGAUGGAGGCCACACCCUUCAAGUGGUUCAUGGAGAUGUGUGUCCAGGCUACCUGGCUGUGCGGCCCUACAUGGAUGUGGUCGUCUCCCUGGUCACUAUCAUGUUGGACACGGGCCUGCCCUGUUUUCGCGGCCAGACAAUCAAGUUCUUGAAGCACAGGUUUAGCCCCAACAUGACUGAGCGCGAGGCUGCAAAUUUCAUCAUGAAGGUCAUCCAGAGCUGCUUCCUCAGCAACAGGAGCCGGACCUACAACAUGAUCCAGUACUAUCAGAAUGACAUCCCCUACUGAGGAGGGGACCUUCGAGGGCCUCUGCCCCAUGUGCCCUUGAAGCUGCCCCACAAUCAUGGAGCCCUGCGACCUACCCGCCCUGCCGCCACAUGCAGUGGAGGAGAGGCCUGUGGCCCGAAGAGCCUGGUAGCGCCUCCUGGGGCAGCACGUGGGUGGCGCAGGCUUAGUAACGCCGUGGACUGCAGCGACAAUCAGUGGAUGGUGCUGUCUAUGCACAGGUGUGAGUCCUCUGUUUGCACUGGACAUAUUCCCUACCUGUUUUAUUUCAUAGGUACAUGAAGUAUUGUGUAUAAAAAAAGAGAUAAGAUUUAACCAACAUCAACAAAAUAAAAACCCAAAAUAGUG